rnacentral:rRNA from 1 species
CCUACGGGAGGCAGCAGUGGGGAAUAUUGGACAAUGGGGGGAACCCUGAUCCAGCCAUGCCGCGUGUGUGAAGAAGGCCCUCGGGUUGUAAAGCACUUUCAGGGAGGAAGAACGCCUGGUGGUUAAUACCCAUCAGGAAAGACAUCACUCACAGAAGAAGCACCGGCUAACUCCGUGCCAGCAGCCGCGGUAAUACGGAGGGUGCGAGCGUUAAUCGGAAUUACUGGGCGUAAAGCGCGCGUAGGUGGCUUGAUAAGCCGGUUGUGAAAGCCCCGGGCUCAACCUGGGAACGGCAUCCGGAUCUGUCAAGCUAGAGUGCAUGAGAGGAAGGUAGAAUUCCCGGUGUAGCGGUGAAAUGCGUAGAGCUCGGGAGGAAUACCAGUGGCGAAGGCGGCCUUCUGGACUGACACUGACACUGAGGUGCGAAAGCGUGGGUAGCAAACAGGAUUAGAUACCCUUGUAGUC